rnacentral:rRNA from 1 species
CCUCGGGUGGCUGCAGUGGGGAAUAUUGGACAAUGGGCGAAAGCCUGAUCCAGCCAUGCCGCGUGUGUGAAGAAGGCCUUCGGGUUGUAAAGCACUUUCAGUGGGGAAGAAAGCCUUGGGGCUAAUACCCUCGAGGAAGGACAUCACCCACAGAAGAAGCACCGGCUAACUCCGUGCCAGCAGCCGCGGUAAUACGGAGGGUGCGAGCGUUAAUCGGAAUUACUGGGCGUAAAGCGCGCGUAGGCGGUCUGAUAAGCCGGUUGUGAAAGCCCCGGGCUCAACCUGGGAACGGCAUCCGGAACUGUCAGGCUAGAGUGCAGGAGAGGAAGGUAGAAUUCCCGGUGUAGCGGUGAAAUGCGUAGAGAUCGGGAGGAAUACCAGUGGCGAAGGCGGCCUUCUGGACUGACACUGACGCUGAGGUGCGAAAGCGUGGGUAGCAAACAGGAUUAGAUACCCCGGUAGUC